CUUUACUCUCGCUUUCCCUUCGGUUCUUCCCCUCCCACCCAAACCCAAUCCCUAAUUCUCCGGCCGACCGGCGAUGUCUACUUCUCCGGUGAUGUGAGACUUGCCCGUGACUACCUCUGUCUCACCUGCUGGAGGCCGAAUCUGUUCCCCGCCCCCACCACCUCUUCAACGAGGCGACUAGGAGGAGCUCAGACUUGCAUGAUGAAGGCUGCACAAUCUCGCCCUUGGUCAGAUCUUCCGCCAGAACUCCUGGGACUUGUUCUCAAGCGCCUCCCUUCCCUAGCUGACCGUGUUCGUCUGAGAGCUGUCUGCCACCCAUGGCGCUCUAAUAGCAGGUUGCAGACCCUUCCUCUCCCAUUCCCGUGGCUCACUCUCCCUGAUGGCACCCUCCUCGGCAUUCCAAGCGGUGAAAUUCACCACAUAUCUUUACCGGAAGGUGCGUGUUGCCAGGGCUCCAUUGACAACUGGCUAUUCCUCAUGCACAAUGAUGGUGUGUGCUACUUGAUGAGCCCUUUCUCCAAGACCAGGUUGCAGCUUCCUAAGCUAGCAAAGGUAUGGAAGCGUGAGAUAUAUGAUCCCGAACCCCGAAUUAACCCAAUUUUCUACAACUUGGUGCUACCCUUUCCACUUGACUCGUCACCGUGUUCCCUACUUGCUGCACUGAUCAUGGAUGAUGGUAACUGGGGUACACUUUGUAUUAGUCAAUCACCGAUUGUCACUGACUCAUUCAGAGAUGAUAAGCAUCCAGCAAAGCUCCUCUGUAGUGUUGCGUUCUUUGAUGGCAAGCUGUACGGGCUGGGGGGGUUUGACCAACUAUUCAUCUUUGAAUUAGACAAGGACCUUGGUAUUUCAUCCAUGGAGUGUAUAAUUGACUAUGGGUGAGUUAGGUGGAAUACCUCAAUCGUUGUCGGAAGAGAAGGCGUAUAUGAUAAGGGGGUAUCUAGUUGAAUGUGGCGAUAGACUGUUGAUGGUGAAACGGUGGAUUCAUCCUAUUGCCCGUUCAACAAGUGAUGACUUUUUCGAGCAUAACCGUACUGUUGCACUUGGGGUUUUUGAGGCAGAUUUGGGCACCGAUCCUGCUGGAUGGAGAACAGUAAAUGAUUUGGAUGGCCAUGCACUCUUUCUUGGCCAGCAUAGCUCCAAGUCCCUGCGCGCUGGAGAAUGCAGUGGAUACCAAGAGGACUGCAUCUACUUCAUGUGUGACUAUUCCUGGCCAAAGCAUUCUGCAAAUCCUCUUCGUGAUGCCGGUGUUUACAACAUCAGGAAUCAGACAUUCAUGCCACUGAUGUCGGGGACUGCAGCGGUACCGCCACGUCAUGCUGGCCAGUGGCGUCCGACAUGGUUUUUCCCUCCUGAAGCUGUGUGACCAAGCCUUGUAAUCACUGAUCUUCAGAGUAAUUGUUGGAUAAUGUAUCUGAGAUGGAAGUUGGAAGGGCUUCGUCCUCACAGCGACAGGUGAGUUGUUGAUGGAUGGUAGAGAUUCGUAGUGUUAGUUUCUGUGUUGGUAGGCUGGUAGGUUCAGUUUGAUGAGUGAUGUGUUCUACCUGGUGGCUGUUGUUCUGUCUUGUGGUGGCUGAACUUAGUGAUCCUGUCCUAGUGUAGCGUUGUAACUGCUGUUGCCUGAACUUUUAAAAGCGGGCCGCUGUAUCAUCAGUUUUAUUUUAAUUAAAUUGGAGGGUGUGUUCUCCUUUCAUCAAAAUUUUCUUGUAUGAUGUUAGAUUCUGUAUUAGUAUGAUGAUAGAGAUGUUUUGCAUUUUCAAGUAUUAUGGAUGAUUUGUUUUUGCUGGUAUUA